rnacentral:tRNA from 2 species
AUAGUAGCUCAGUUGGUAGAGCUUUGGCUUCCCAAGCCAAAGGUCGCGGGUUCGAGCCCCGUCUAU